rnacentral:rRNA from 1 species
UGCAAGUCGAACGGGGCCCGCAAGGGUUCAGUGGCGAACGGGUGCGUAACACGUGAAGAAUUCUCCUCUACGAAAAGGGGAUAGCCGGCCCAACGGCCGGGUAAUACCGCGUACGACCUUCGGGGGGCAUCCCCUGAUGGUGAAAGCCGCAAGGCGCCGAUGGAGAACUUCGCGGCCUAUCAGCUAGUUGGUGAGGUCAUGGCUCACCAAGGCGACGACGGGUAGCUGGUCCGAGAGGAUGACCAGCCACAUUGGGACUGAGACACGGCCCAGACUCCUACGGGAGGCAGCAGUGGGGAAUAUUUCGUAAUGGGCGAAAGCCUGACGCAGCGACGCCGCGUGUGGGAUGACGGCCUUCGGGUUGUAAACCACUGUCGCGAGGGACGAAGAUCUGACGGUACCUCGAAAGGAAGCACCGGCUAACUCUGUGCCAGCAGCCGCGGUAAUACAGAGGGUGCGAGCGUUGUCCGGAAUCACUGGGCGUAAAGGGCGCGUAGGUGGCCCGAUAAGUAGGGGGUGAAAUCUCGUGGCUCAACUGCGAGGCUGCCUCCUAAACUGUCGGGCUUGAGCAGAGUAGAGGCAGGUGGAAUUCCCGGUGUAGCGGUGGAAUGCGUAGAGAUCGGGAAGAACAUCGGUGGCGAAGGCGGCCUGCUGGGCUCUUGCUGACACUGAGGCGCGACAGCG